UUUUUUAUAAAAAUCUUUAAAAAAGUGCCUUAAUUUUAAAAGAAAGUUUUAACAAAAUAUAUUUCUUAGUUUAAAAACAUAAAUUAGAAAAAAUAUGUCAAAAAAUUACAAGAAACCAAAAUUUGUCAUUAGUGAUGAUUUCAAUCACAAUGACAGCACCACCUCGUUUCAAGAAGAUGUUGGACAAACCUACGAUUUUGAUAUGGAAGAGGAACCUGAACGUAGUUCAAAAAUCCUAGAUGUUAUUAAUUGGCUGCAUCAACGUCAUCAUCAUAAUGGUUUAAACGAUUCAAAAAAACAACAACAAAAGAAAAUCAAACAAACAACCCGGUCAGCCCAGCAACGGCCAGUAAUGAAAAUGUGUCAACAGCAAUUGAACGGCAUUUUCAAUUAAACGCUGGCCGGAACAACAGCAUAAAAAUUUGAAAGUGAAAUAAAAAAAUAAGAAAAAAUAGAAUAAAAUGUUUAAAUAAUAAAUAAAGAAAAAAAGCCACAAACAUAAGAAAAAAUUGUGUUUUAAUGGCCAACGAAGCGUAUGAGUGACAUUAUAAUAUGAAUUUUUAAUAAAAGUAAAUCUUUUAUAAAAUAACAAUAAAUAACAUUUACAUCAACAUAAAUUUAAGAAAAAGUGUUUGAUAAUAAAAUUCCAGUGAAAUGUUUUAAACCCCUUACGAAUGUGAGUGUUGCUGGAGGUGGAGGUUUUGAAGAGGUUUUUUUUCAAAAUUUAAACGUCAACAUUAUUAAAGAAAAAUUUACAUAAAACGAAAAAGGAAGCGGAAAAGAACAAAAUUAAAAAUGUACAAAAGAAAGGCUUAGAAAUAUAAGAAUGAAAUCAUUUUGACGUAAUUUUUGUGUUUUUAUUCUCUACUGCUGCUACGUUUUCUUAAUGCUGCUUCGUUUUGACAUUUAGCAUUAAGAAAAGAAAAUUUUUAAGCUUUUGACAACAACAACAACAAAAACAACUAUUAAAUAAACAUGAAAAAUAAGCUGUAACUACUAAAAUAGCUAAAUGUACCUGGCUUCGUUAAAAAAAUUCUGGAACAAUUAAUUAACUAAAUAAAUUUUAACAACAAAAAAAUGUUUUAAUAACAAAAAUUUUAAGACAAAAGCUAAUAAAAACUAUUAAUUUAUACAAAAAUUUAAUAAUUUAUUAAAUAAUAUAAGCAACGAAGCAUAUCCUAAAAACAUUUCAAAUAAUUUCAAUUGUGCGGGCUCUAAUUUAACUUUUCUAAAACUCGCUCUUUAAAUAUUACUCAUACGUACAACAACAUUAUCAUUCCUUGUUUAUAUUAGAAAUUAAAAAAAAAAAAACAUUUCUGUGAUUUGUUCAAAACAACAACAAUAACCACAAACAAACUAAUCCUUAAUAAUUUUUCUCGUUUCCAAAACUCUCUCUCUCUCAAACAAUUAACUAAAACGGAAAUAGAGUUUUAAAACUGAGAGUGCAUUCAAACUUUUUGUUGUCUUUUUUUCGAAUAAAUUAAAAACAACUGUUUCAUACAAGUUUAAGCAACAUUAGCCACAUAAGCAACAAUAUUUCCCUAACAAUGCGUGUCAAAGUGGGUAAACGUAUAUGGCUGAAAAAGAGACGUUCAAAACGUGAAAGUUUUCCCAAGCCCAGUGAAGUUACAGAAGGUGCCUUACAAGUAUGGCGUACAUUACCGGAACGUAUUAGACAAGAUCCAAGUUUAGCCUCAUUUCGCCAGGAACAUGAACGUUUACAUGGUGAGUGUAACUAACAAUCUGA
rnacentral:misc_RNA from 1 species